rnacentral:rRNA from 1 species
CGGAACGGGUGAGUAAUGCGUGACCAACCUGCCCCAUGCUCCAGAAUAGCUCUUGGAAACGGGUGGUAAUGCUGGAUGCUCCAACUUGACGCAUGUCUUGUUGGGAAAGUGUUUAGUGGCAUGGGAUGGGGUCGCGUCCUAUCAGCUUGUAGGCGGGGUAAUGGCCCACCUAGGCUUCGACGGGUAGCCGGCCUGAGAGGGCGGACGGCCACAUUGGGACUGAGACACGGCCCAAACUCCUACGGGAGGCAGCAGCU